rnacentral:rRNA from 1 species
ACUCAAAUGAAUAGACGGGGGCCCGCACAAGCGGCGGAGCAUGUGGCUUAAUUCGAGGCAACGCGAAGAACCUUACCUGGGCUUGACAUCAGGGGAAAACUUGCAGAGAUGCAAGGUCCGUAAGGGCCCCUGACAGGUGGUGCAUGGCUGUCGUCAGCUCGUGCCGUGAGGUGUUGGGUUAAGUCCCGCAACGAGCGCAACCCCCGUCUCUAGUUGCCAGCACAUGAUGGUGGGGACUCUAGAGAGACUGCCGGCGUUGAGCCGGAGGAAGGUGGGGAUGAGGUCAAGUCAUCAUGCCCCUUAUGUCCAGGGCUGCACACAUGCUACAAUGCCGACCACAAAGGGCUGCAACCCCGCGAGGGUGAGCGAAUCCCAAAAAAGUCGGCUAAGUUCGGAUCGCAGUCUGCAACUCGACUGCGUGAAGUCGGAGUCGCUAGUAAUCGCAGAUCAGCAACGCUGCGGUGAAUACGUUCCCGGGCCUUGUACACACCGCCCGU